CUUGGUCAUUUAGAGGAAGUAAAAGUCGUAACAAGGUUUCCGUAGGUGAACCUGCGGAAGGAUCAUUAGUGAACGCCCUCACGGGCUUAUAACUAUUCCAAACCUCUGUGAACCGUGCCCUUCGGGGCUAUUUUACAAACAUGGUGUAAUGAACGUCAUAUAUCAUAACAAAACAAAACUUUCAACAACGGAUCUCUUGGCUCUCGCAUCGAUGAAGAACGCAGCGAAAUGCGAUAAGUAAUGUGAAUUGCAGAAUUCAGUGAAUCAUCGAAUCUUUGAACGCACCUUGCGCCCUCUGGUAUUCCGGAGGGCAUGCCUGUUUGAGUGUCAUGUAGACUCAAUCCCUCGGGUUUCCGAGGAGAUUGGACUUGGGUGUUGCCGCUCUGCCGGCUCGCCUUAAAAGACUUAGCGGGAUAGCACCGUAGUCGGCGUAAUAAGUUUCGUCGGUGAAGGUUGUGAUGACUGCUUACAAUCGCCCUUGGGCAAUUUUUGACUCUGACCUCAAAUCAGGUAGGACUACCCGCUGAACUUAAGCAUAUCAAUAAGCGGAGGA
rnacentral:rRNA from 1 species